rnacentral:tRNA from 1 species
GAGCUUGUCGUCUAGUCUGGAUAGGACAACGCCCUCCUAAGGCGUAAAUCGGGGGUUCGAAUCCCCUCAAGCUCG